rnacentral:rRNA from 1 species
CUACGGGCUGCUGCAGUGAGGAAUAUUGCGCAAUGGGGGGAACCCUGAUGCGGCAACGCCGCGUGGAGGAUGACGCAUUUCGGUGUGUAAACUCCUUUUAUAUGUCAAGAAAAUGACGGUAGCAUAUGAAUAAGCACCGGCUAACUCCGUGCCAGCAGCCGCGGUAAUACGGAGGGUGCAAGCGUUACUCGGAAUCACUGGGCGUAAAGGACGCGUAGGCGGGUUGGAAAGUCAGGUGUGAAAUCCUACAGCUUAACUGUAGAACUGCACUUGAAACUUCUAAUCUAGAGUAUGGGAGGGGGAGAUGGAAUUAGUGGUGUAGGGGUAAAAUCCGUAGAUAUCACUAGGAAUACCUAAAGCGAAGGCGAUCUCCUGGAACAUUACUGACGCUAAGGCGUGAAAGCGUGGGGAGCAAACAGGAUUAGAUACCCGUGUAGUC